UACGUAGGAGGCGAGCGUUGUCCGGAAUUACUGGGCGUAAAGAGCGCGUAGGUGGCGCGAUACGACCGGUGUGAAAUCCUCCGGCUCAACUGGGGAGGGUCAUCGGUAACGGUCGUGCUAUGAGUGCAGGAGAGGGAAGUGGAACUCCGGGAGUAGCGGUGAAAUGCGUAGAGACCCGGAGGAACACCAGUGGCGAAGGCGACCCACUGGACACGUAUUGACGCUGAGGUGCGAAAGCGUGGGGAGCAAACAGG
rnacentral:rRNA from 1 species